GUAAAGGCAAAAGAGAGCUUGAUUGCAAGACAUACAGGUCGAGCAAGGAUGAAAAUCGGACUUAGUGAUCCGGUGGUUCUGCGUGGAAGGGCCAUCGCUCAACGGAUAAAAGCUACCCUGGGGAUAACAGGCUUAUCUCCCCCAAGAGUCCACAUCGACGGGGAGGUUUGGCACCUCGAUGUCGGCUCAUCACAUCCUGGGGCUGUAGUAGGUCCCAAGGGUUGGGCUGUUCGCCCAUUAAAGUGGUACGCGAGCUGGGUUCAGAACGUCGUGAGACAGUUCGGUCCCUAUCCGUCGCAGGCGUAGGAAAUUUGAGAAGACCUGUCCUUAGUACGAGAGGACCGGGAUGGACGUACCUCUGGUGUACCAGUUGU
rnacentral:rRNA from 1 species